rnacentral:rRNA from 1 species
AGUGAACGCUGGCGGCGUGCCUAAUACAUGCAAGUCGAACGGAAUUUAAAAGAGCUUGCUCUUUUAAAUUUAGUGGCGCACGGGUGAGUAAUAUAUAGCUAAUCUGCCCCUUGCUGGAGGACAACAGUUAGAAAUGACUGCUAAUACUCCAUACUCCUUUUUACCAUAAGAUAAAUCGGGAAAGAAUUUCGGCAAGGGAUGAGACUAUAUCGUAUCAGCUAGUCGGUGGGGUAACGGCCUACCGAGGCUAUGACGCGUAACUGGUCUGAGAGGAUGAUCAGUCACAUUGGAACUGAGACACGGUCCAAACUCCUACGGGAGGCAGCAGUAGGGAAUAUUGCGCAAUGGGGGAAACCCUGACGCAGCAACGCCGCGUGGAGGAUGACACUUUUCGGAGCGUAAACUCCUUUUGUUAGGGAAGAAUAAUGACGGACCUAACGAUAGCCC